UACGAAGGGGGCUAGCGUUGUUCGGAAUUACUGGGCGUAAAGCGUGCGCAGGCGGCUUCUCAAGUCAGGGGUGAAAGCCCAGAGCUCAACUCUGGAAUUGCCUUUGAGACUGAGUGGCUUGAGUACGAGAGAGGUGAGUGGAAUUCCCAGUGUAGAGGUGAAAUUCGUAGAUAUUGGGAAGAACACCGGUGGCGAAGGCGGCUCACUGGCUCGUAACUGACGUUCAUGCACGACAGCGUGGGGAUCAAACAGG
rnacentral:rRNA from 1 species